rnacentral:rRNA from 1 species
CGAACGGGUGAGUAAUGCGUUUCUAACGUGCCCUGAGCGGGGGAUAGCUGGAGGAAACUCCAGGUAAUACCCCAUGAUCCCGCGAGACCGCAUGGUCUUUCGGGCAAAGAUUUAUCACCUUUGGAUCGGGAAACGUGGCAUCAGGUUGUUGGUGAGGUAACGGUUCACCAAGCCUCAGACGCCUAGCGGGUGUGAGAGCAUGACCCGCCACAUCGGGACUGAGACACUGCCCGG